rnacentral:rRNA from 1 species
GAGUUUGAUCGUGGCUCAGGAUGAACGCUGGCGGCGUGCCUAAUACAUGCAAGUCGAACGAACAGAUAAGGAGCUUGCUCCUUUGACGUUAGCGGCGGACGGGUGAGUAACACGUGGGUAACCUACCUAUAAGACUGGGAAUAACUCCGGGAAACCGGGGCUAAUGCCGGAUAACAUGUUGAACCGCAUGGUUCUACAGUGAAAGACGGUCUUGCUGUCACUUAUAGAUGGACCCGCGCCGUAUUAGCUAGUUGGUGGGGUAACGGCCUACCAAGGCGACGAUACGUAGCCGACCUGAGAGGGUGAUCGGCCACACUGGAACUGAGACACGGUCCAGACUCCUACGGGAGGCAGCAGUAGGGAAUCUUCCGCAAUGGGCGAAAGGCCUGACGGAGCAACGCCGCGUGAGUGAUGAAGGUCUUCGGAUCGUAAAGCUCUGUUGUUAGGGAAG